UGGGGAAUUUUGGGCAAUGGGCGAAAGCCUGACCCAGCAACGCCGCGUGAAGGAUGAAGUAUUUCGGUAUGUAAACUUCGAAAGAAUAGGAAGAAUAAAUGACGGUACUAUUUAUAAGGUCCGGCUAACUACGUGCCAGCAGCCGCGGUAAUACGUAGGGACCAAGCGUUGUUCGGAUUUACUGGGCGUAAAGGGCGCGUAGGCGGCAAUUCAAGUCAUCUGUGAAAUCUCCGGGCUUAACUCGGAACGGUCAGAUGAUACUGCUUUGCUAGAGUGCAGAAGGGGCAAUCGGAAUUCUUGGUGUAGCGGUGAAAUGCGUAGAUAUCAAGAGGAACACCUGAGGUGAAGACGGGUUGCUGGGCUGACACUGACGCUGAGGCGCGAAAGCCAGGGGAGCAAACGGGAUUAGAUACCCACGUACUCCCUGAGCGGGCUGGCAAGGCGCAU
rnacentral:rRNA from 1 species